rnacentral:rRNA from 1 species
UGCACCCUGAUGACGAGUGGCGCACGGGUGCGUAACGCGCAUACAAUCUGCCUCUUACAGGGGGAUAGCCUUUGGAAACGAAGAAUAAUACCCCAUGGCAUAUGGAUGUUGCAUGACUUCCAUAUUAAAGAUUUAUCGGUAAGAGAUGAGUAUGCGUCCUAUUAGCUAGUAGGUGUGGUAACGGCACACCUAGGCUACGAUAGGUAGGGGCCCUGAGAGGGGGAUCCCCCACACUGGUACUGAGACACGGACCAGACUCCUACGGGAGGCAGCAGUGAGGAAUAUUGGACAAUGGUCGGAAGACUGAUCCAGCCAUGCCGCGUGCAGGAAGACUGCCCUAUGGGUUGUAAACUGCUUUUGUACGGGAAGAAACCCCCCUACGCGUAGGGGGCUGACGGUACCGUAAGAAUAAGCAUCGGCUAACUCCGUGCCAGCAGCCGCGGUAAUACGGAGGAUGCAAGCGUUAUCCGGAAUCAUUGGGUUUAAAGGGUCCGUAGGUGGAUCGGUCAGUCAGAGGUGAAAUCCUGCAGCUCAACUGUAGAACUGCCUUUGAUACUGCCGGUCUUGAAUUACUGUGAAGUGGUUAGAAUAUGUAGUGUAGCGGUGAAAUGCAUAGAUAUUACAUAGAAUACCGAUUGCGAAGGCAGAUCACUAACGGUAUAUUGACACUGAUGGACGAAAGCGUGGGGAGCGAACGGGAUUAGAUACCCCGGUAGUCCACGCCGUAAACGAUGGUCACUAGCUGUUCGGACUUCGGUCUGAGUGGCUAAGCGAAAGUGAUAAGUGACCCACCUGGGGAGUACGUUCGCAAGAAUGAAACUCAAAGGAAUUGACGGGGGCCCGCACAAGCGGUGGAGCAUGUGGUUUAAUUCGAUGAUACGCGAGGAACCUUACCAGGGCUUAAAUG